rnacentral:rRNA from 1 species
UACGAAGGGGGCUAGCGUUGUUCGGAUUUACUGGGCGUAAAGCGCACGUAGGCGGAUCGUUAAGUCGGGGGUGAAAUCCUGGAGCUCAACUCCAGAACUGCCUUCGAUACUGGCGAUCUAGAGUCCGGAAGAGGUGAGUGGAACUCCUAGUGUAGAGGUGGAAUUCGUAGAUAUUAGGAAGAACACCAGUGGCGAAGGCGGCUCACUGGUCCGGUACUGACGCUGAGGUGCGAAAGCGUGGG